AAGCUAGUGUGGAGCUCUGAAACUGAAACAACGGACUCUGAAACAGAAACAGGGGAUUCUCUACAGAAAACGGGCCAGAAAAAUAAAGAGAAGAAAAGGAAGAAAGAGACAGAGUCGGCAAAAGAACAAGAAAAAAGAAGGGGGAAAAAGGGCCUGAAGUGGAUUUUAGGACCGAAGCGGGUUGGUCGGUCUCAAAUCGCGAAUUGAAUUAGGAUUAGAGUUCUUAUUCCUUUCUCCCGCUGCUCAAUCAAAUCGCUGUUGCUCGCUUCUCGGCGACUCCACGCCCAAUCCUUGCUCGCUCCUCGCAAGCUUAAGUCUGUCGUUCGCCGUCGUCUCUCCUUUCCCAGGUUCUGUCGUCCGUGAGCUUGAAGCUCGUCAUUCGUGAGCUUCGAGUUCGAUGUCCACGAGCUUCAAGUCCUUCUUCAGUGCCACUUUUCACUCUCGUGCACACUUUCUUCUUCAGUGCCGCUCAGCUGGAGGAAUUUGGUGCCACAUGAGGCUCGAACGGUUGCAUUCAUUAACUCCAUGAGUGUUGGGAGUCAUGGGCCUGAACUCGAGCUCUGGAUCACUAGCUAAUCGCUGAAGAACAGGUAAGAAAGGUGCGGCAGUUGGUGUUCUUUUUUUCUUUUUUCUUUUUUUGGGGUGUUUUUUUGGUGUGGCAGUUGGUGUUUAGUUGAAUGUAAUCGUGUGAUUUGUUUUUGCAUAGUUAAGCAUGAGCUGUAGCUCUAGUUUCAUAUGCUAAUAGCUGUGUAAGGGUCUGUACGCCUAGCCUAGUUAUGUUGCUAUGCUUUUGUGAACUGCUCGAUUGAGCGUAAUCCUGUGCACAGGAUAUUAAGCAUCUUCUCGUGAAGAGUUUGUCUGUAAGUACAUUCUAAACUUUGAUUAAUGGUCGCUUUAAUAAGUAUC